UACACACCGCCCGUCACACCAUGAGAGCUGCGAACACCCAAAGCCGGUAGCCUAACCGCAAGGAGGGCGCUGUCUAAGGUGGGCGUGGUAAUUGGGGUGAAGUCGUAACAAGGUACC
rnacentral:rRNA from 1 species